UUUCCGUAGGUGAACCUGCGGAAGGAUCAUUAUUGUAUCCCGAGGUGCGAGGGCUGUCGCUGACCCGAAAGGUCGUGCACGCCCGAGUGCCCUCACACACAUCCAUCUCACCCCUAUGUGCACCACCGCGUGGGUCCCCCUUUGGCUUGUUCGGAGGGGGGCUUACGUUUUCACACAAACUUUGUAUGCAGUGUAGAAUGUAUUUUUUGUUUUUGCGAUCACGCAAUCAAUACAACUUUCAACAACGGAUCUCUUGGCUCUC
rnacentral:misc_RNA from 1 species